rnacentral:rRNA from 1 species
UGGGGAAUUUUGGACAAUGGGCGCAAGCCUGAUCCAGCCAUGUCGCGUGCGGGAAGAAGGCCUUCGGGUUGUAAACCGCUUUUGUCAGGGAAGAAAUCUUCUGAGUUAAUACCUCGGGAGGAUGACGGUACCUGAAGAAUAAGCACCGGCUAACUACGUGCCAGCAGCCGCGGUAAUACGUAGGGUGCAAGCGUUAAUCGGAAUUACUGGGCGUAAAGCGUGCGCAGGCGGUUUUGUAAGACAGAGGUGAAAUCCCCGGGCUCAACCUGGGAACUGCCUUUGUGACUGCAAGGCUUGAGUGCGGCAGAGGGGGAUGGAAUUCCGCGUGUAGCAGUGAAAUGCGUAGAUAUGCGGAGGAACACCGAUGGCGAAGGCAAUCCCCUGGGCCCGCACUGACGCUCAUGCACGAAAGCGUGGGGAGCAAACAGGGAUUAGAUACCCUGGUAGUCCACGCCCUAAACGAUGUCAACUGGUUGUUGGG